rnacentral:rRNA from 1 species
GACGAACGCUGGCGGCGUGCCUAAUACAUGCAAGUCGAACGGUUUAGUUCCAAGAGGCUUGCCUUUUGGAACUAGACAGUGGCGGACGGGUGAGUAACACGUAGGCAACCUACCUGUCAAACCGGGAUAACCUCGGGAAACCGAAGCUAAACCCGGAUAAGCUCCUUUUUCGCAUGAAGGGUGAGUGAAAAGGUGCGACCUGAUGACAGAUGGGCCUGCGGCGCAUUAGCUAGUAGGUAGGGUAACGGCCUACCUAGGCGAUGAUGCGUAGCCGACCUGAGAGGGCGUACGGCCACACUGGGACUGAGAUACGGCCCAGACUCCUACGGGAGGCAGCAGUAGGGAAUCUUCGGCAAUGGGCGAAAGCCUGACCGAGCAACGCCGCGUGAGUGAGGAAGGCCUUCGGGUUGUAAAACUCUGUUGUUUGGGAAGAAGGGAAAGGGUAGGACCCUUAGGUGACGGUACCAAACGAGAAAGCCCCGGCUAACUACGUG